UUCUUACAUUUAUCAGUGCUUUUGUUAACACUUCAAAUAGCUUUCAAUAGAUUAUAACAAUUAGUCCUGGAAAAAUCUCUGUUCUAGAAAAUGCAGCCCUGGAAAAUAUUAGAACACUUCACAAUAAGCAUAGAUGCAGUACUGGAUCUAAGUUUGUAUGUUGAUGAAUGACGUUUAAAGGCCUCAAGGAUACAAUGUAAUCAAAUAUAUCUUCAGAGCACAACUGACACUCAGUCCCUUGCAAAUGGGAAUUUGGCCCCAAGGAAAUAUAUAAAACGUAACUGAAUAAUCAAACAUAAGUUGAAAUCCCUUCCUAAUUUGAGCAUAUGCUAUAGCUGCAACUGCAGCACCCCCCAAGUGUGCUGAACCUGCAAUGUGACUAUUCCCCUGAGAAAACAAAUUGCACCAAUCAAUAGUGAAUUAACUUUUUAGAUUGGUUAGAUUAGUUGUUUCCAUUAGCACGCACAAACAUACGAAAAGAAAAGGUUUGUUGGAAAGAUGAUAACACAGCCAAAGGAGGAAAAGCAACAAACCUCUAAUGUUAUCAAUACAUCUUUCCUGAUUAAAAAGAUUUCCUAAAACCAUGAUCAAAGGAAUGUCACAAGCACUUGCGAAAUAGACUGAAACAAUUAUUAUUUCUUUUAUAGAAGUAAGCUUUACCAUUAAGAUGGCAGGAACCGGUAUAAUAAAAUCCAAGUAAAUAGUGGAUCUUGGAUUCAAGAAUAUAUCCAGCAGAAUUGUAGCAGUGACGGCCCACAAGCCGCCUAAAAGAUACAAGCAUGCUCACGAGUCAAUAUACUUCAAGUUAAAUAAUGAUCUAUUUGCAUGUUCCAGCAGAUGAGAAAGGCAACAACUUUCUGGAAAUGAAAAACUCAUCUAAGACUUCCAUCCAUCUUCAGGAUACAUGGAGAAGAGUUUGGAUCAACAUAUCGCCCCAAGCAAUUGAGCUGAUGAUUUGACAAAUCUUUUGUAGGAUAAUUUAAGCCGUGUUCAGAAAACAAAUUAAAGCUGCUCUACAUUUUUAGGGUGAGAAACUAAAUUUUACUAAUUUCAAAAUCUGUAAGAACAUAUGUAAAAGACAGUUGCACAAAAAGCUAUCACAUUGGAAUUGGGGUUGACAUAGUCCUUAUCUCAAGAUCAUUUUCUUUUGAUUUCAGAUAUCAAUUUGUUGAAUAGUUUAUUUGUUCAUAAGUUUCAGAUUCAAAGUUCAAGGUAUCAAAGGAUACAUUCUGUACAAAUGGUAAUCUUUCUCAAAUACUGAUAACAGAUCAUGAAUUCGUGAUAAGGACUUCAACAUUCUUUGGCUGAAAUAGUUUUAGUAGAAAAUGAAAAAGAAAAGAAAAUGAACUUGACGUAAACAGUUUCCAAAAGCAUACCAAUGCCGGAGUUCUUGAAGGGUCCUCCACACACGUUCCUUGUCCCUGUAGUUAGCAAAAAGCUGAGAUCAGAGUCAGGGUUAUGGGCCACCGAAAGAUCCAGGAAUCACAGUAAUGUUUGAACUGGAAUUCCAACAGGAAUAUUUAUGUAAAACUAGGAAGAAUUAGACCAAGAGAAACACAUUCCAAGAAUCAAAUAGGGUAGAGAAACUCAUUGUCAGGGAUCAAGAGAAACACAUUCUGAAGACACAAACGAGGAGAAGCUAAAUCUCUAUAAAAAUCACAAAAAUCAAACUUCUAAUUUAAAAACCCCCAGUCCUAUUUAUAGAGUUUAAAAUUCCAAUCACAUUAGGAUUUAGAACCCUAAUUCAAAUCUAAAUAGUAAUACUAAAU
rnacentral:misc_RNA from 1 species